GCAGAUGAAUUACGGUGAAAGCCGUAAGCCGCAAGGCAUCUGUGAAGGUGCUGCAUGGUUGUCGUCAGCUCGUGCCGUGAGGUGUCGGCUUAAGUGCCAUAACGAGCGCAACCCUUGUUGUCAGUUACUAACAGGUUCCGCUGAGGACUCUGACAAGACUGCCAUCGUAAGAUGUGAGGAAGGUGGGGAUGACGUCAAAUCAGCACGGCCCUUACGUCCGGGGCUACACACGUGUUACAAUGGGGGGUACAGAGGGCCGCUACCACGCGAGUGGAUGCCAAUCCCCAAAACCUCUCUCAGUUCGGACUGGAGUCUGCAACCCGACUCCACGAAGCUGGAUUCGCUAGUAAUCGCGCAUCAGCCACGGCGCGGUGAAUACGUUCCCGGGCCUUGUACACACCGCCCGUCAAGCCAUGGGAGCCGGGGGUACCUGAAGUGCGUAACCGCGAGGAGCGCCCUAGGGUAAAACUGGUGACUGGGGCUAAGUCGUAACAAGGUAGCCGUACCGGAAG
rnacentral:rRNA from 1 species